UCCUACGGGACCAUUAAACUCUCCGUCAGCUUCCCUCAUUCUGUACUGGACAUAAGACUUGCCAAAGACAGUGUAAACUACAGCAGCAUUGUAACAGCUUGACACGCUUGCCUUAAAAUGCCUAAAGAUAUAUGUUGUGGUUUAUAGCAAAACCAAAGAACAAGUUUCUACCCAGCCUGCAUGCAGUGAGCAAAGGACAAGACAACCCCCUUUUCCAGUACUGAUUUUGGUGGGGCAGAAUUUUGUGACAGCUUUCUAGAGAAAGGACUUGACUGAUAGAGGAUCACAGAAGCAUUUGCAAAGGGAUAGGAGGGGAGGGUGUGAGUAUACAAAUCCCACCUGAAGCCAGUGCAGUAAGAUGCCUUUGAAAACCUCUCUCCUGAAUCUCAACACUGUUACUUCUAAUCUGUUGCAGAUGCCAAAAUAACAGGUUACACAGACACUCUUCUGGAAAUCAGACCCACGUUACUGGAUCAGUCUUUGUUCUACUCUUUGUUAUCCCAAAGGUGCAUUAAGACUAUGCUGACAUUUGCCAGGAGUUCAAAGCUCACAUCAAAUUUUUAUGUAUCUUGACAUAUGUUGUCUAGAAAUAGACACAGAUAAUACUGAUAAGUUAGCUUCUCUGUGAGCUUCAUUCAGAGAUAACUUCUGGAUACUCCCUGUUAAUGAUUCUUUAUUUCCUGAUACACCCAUUAAAUGAUAAGUUGUUUGUUACCUCGGGUAUUAGGUUGGUAAUUAUUGCAGCCUAUACUAAUGAACUUCAUGAUACUCUUACUGAAUUUUGUUGAAUUAUUAAGAAGGAGCAUCGGCAAUACAGUGAUUCAUGCUAACUUUAUUCAUAUUCCUACCAUUUAUUUUGUCUACAAUAAGCCCUGUGGAUAACCCUUUAAUUCUGGCAUCAACAUAUAUGCAGUAAAUACUGCCAUCCUAACUUUUCAUCUCUUUAUCCACCUAGAGCCCUGGUCUUUUUGUUUUGUCUUUUGAAGAUAAUCUACCCAUUGUUUUGAACUCUUUUACCUUCCAGUAGAUUUCAACAUUACUUGCAAUCCAGUCUUAAUAGUUUAUGUGGGUACAUCUGGAGUAAGAACAGUGAUUGUAACAGAUUUACUUAAUAUCUCAGUUGUAAUUCUUAGUACAAUGGGUCUUUACUUGGAUCAUAAUAGCAAUGGACAAUGAUGUGACAAUUAUUAACAGAUUUCCAUUGUUUGAAAAUGUGUGGUUGUAUUUUUCCAAAGGAAAAUGAAAAGGAGAAACAUACUGUUUAUUGCCUAUAAAACUAGCAACCAUUAUAAAGUCUGUAACCCCCUUCUCUUUUGACUUCAUUUAACCAGGUUGUGUACAUCUGAAAAACUCCAUUCACACAUGGUCAGUGGAAACCUUGAUAAAAUAUGACAACGAAAACUUCCACAUACGCAGCUUCAUCUUGGUAUUGCAAGCCUGCUUAAGGUAAGUUGCUUUUUGAAAUGUCUGGCUCUUGGGGACCAUUUUGUGAUAGAAAGUACUGAAGAUAUGCCAGUCUUUUUGUCUUCCUGCUGUUGAUACACAGCCCCUGCAGUGAAAUGACCAAAAACACUGAAGAAGGAGCAGACUGUAAGAAAGACAGGAGGCCUAAGGAGAGAAGAAAUUGGAGUGUAGGAAAGGAAGGCUGGAACUGGGGAGCAGGUGCUAGGUGAGGCCAACGUGGUACGAUUGGGUUUUGCAUAUAGGAAUCACAGAAUUGAUAAAGACCUUGGAACAGCUGAGAGGGGAGACGGAGUGUGACCUUCAGCUUCAACAGAGACGUGAGAGCUAGGCAGUUCGGAAGAGCCGUGAGGCUGCAACUUUGGAAAACUUGAAAAAAGUAAUAGACUAUGAAGAGACGAAGCACUGAUGUAGGGAGGAGUUUUCCUCAGGAAGACAGGUACAGGCAACUCAGAGAAGAGGGAAAGUAAAAGAAGAGUAAGAAGGGAGGCACCUAGAUCUGGCAUAGGGAGACACUGCAAAUGGUAUAGGUAGCUGAGAAGCAAGACUGAGAAUAGCUAGGGACUGAGCUGAAGAAUUCUGUGAGAAGAAGGAGCUGAGCCAACAAAAGAUUGCAGGAAGAGUCAAAUUUAGAAGUGAGGAGAGGGAGAAAGGGCUUAGCAGAGCAAUAGGCUGAAAAAGACACGGCAAAAGAAGCAGUACCCACAAUGGUUUCUCCAGGAUGACUCCAGCUGAGAAACCCAAUGGCCAAAUGUAUUUAGCAUCCUCUCUACAGAUGUCAGCUUAAUUCUCCUGCUAGUUACUGUUUGUUCUCUUGUCAGAGAGCUGUGGUACAGAUCUGGAUGUGGUAUAUGAUAUAAUCCCACAUUAUAAUUAUGUGGAUGUUUGAAUUAAACCUAGAGAAUUAGACAUCCACACAUAUAAGCAGCUAUGCAACACUGACAUGAUAAACCUAAAAGACUUUGAAAGUUUAAAAAUUCCAGAAGAUGAGGACUGCGUUUUCAGGUAGUUGCAUGCUUAUGUACCAUUUUUUUCCUAUGGGAAUUUUGCCUUACUCACUCCACAAGAUGAAAGGACUUAUUGAAUCAACAUGUAUGCAAUGCUGUGUUCUACCCACAGUUGCUCAGUUUGCUGCCCCCAGAUUUAUGUAGCGAUAUGAACUCUAUUAUUCAAGCUCCAGAUAUAUUAAUUUCCAUAUUAACAUUGCUGUGCCAUUCUUCAGUACACUCUCUGAGGGCUCCAAAACAUGAAUUAACUUAUUUUUGCA